AGUGUUCUAACACUGUGUAUAAGGUGUUAAUGAAGUGUUGUGUAAGGUGUUAAGUGUUCUAACACUGUAUGUAAUGUGAUAAUGGAGUGUUCUAACAAUGUGUAUAAGGUGAUAAUGGAGUGUUCUAACACUGUGUAUAAUGUGAUAAUGGAGUGUUCUAACACUGUGUAUACGGUGAUAAUGGAGUGUUCUAACACUGUGUAUACGGUGAUAAUGGAGUGUUCUAACACUGUGUAUAAUGUGAUAAUGGAGUGUUCUAACACUGUGUAUAAUGUGAUAAUGGAGUGUUCUAACACUGUAUAAGGUGAUAAUGGAGUGUUCUAACACUGUGUAUAAGGUGAUAAUGGAGUGUUCUAACACUGUGUAUAAUGUGAUAAUGGAGCGUUCUAACACUGUGUAU